rnacentral:rRNA from 1 species
ACGGGAGGCAGCAGUGGGGAAUAUUGCACAAUGGGGGAAACCCUGAUGCAGCGACGCCGCGUGAGCGAAGAAGUAUUUCGGUAUGUAAAGCUCUAUCAGCAGGGAAGAAAAUGACGGUACCUGACUAAGAAGCCCCGGCUAACUACGUGCCAGCAGCCGCGGUAAUACGUAGGGGGCAAGCGUUAUCCGGAUUUACUGGGUGUAAAGGGAGCGCAGACGGCAUGGCAAGCCAGAUGUGAAAGGUGGGGGCUCAACCCCCAAGCUGCAUUUGGAACUGUCAAGCUAGAGUAUCGGAGAGGUAAGUGGAAUUCCUAGUGUAGCGGUGAAAUGCGUAGAUAUUAGGAGGAACACCAGUGGCGAAGGCGGCUUACUGGACGAUAACUGACGUUGAGGCUCGAAAGCGUGGGGAGCAAACAGGAUUAGAUACCCUGGUA